AUUGAACGCUGGCGGCAGGCCUAACACAUGCAAGUCGAACGAGUGGCGGACGGGUGAGUAAUGUCUGGGAAACUGCCCGAUGGAGGGGGAUAACUACUGGAAACGGUAGCUAAUACCGCAUACUAUCGGAUGUGCCCAGAUGGGAUUGGCUUGUAGGUGGGGUAACGGCUCACCUAGGCGACGAUCCCUAGCUGGUUUGAGAGGCUGACCAGCAACACUGGAACUGAGACACGGUCCAGACUCCAACGGGAGGAAGCAGGGGGGAAUAUUGCACAAUGGGCGCAAGCCUGAUGCAGCCAUGCCGGGUGUAUGAAGAAGGCCUUCGGGUUGUAAAGUACUUUCAGCGAGGAGGCGUUACUCGCAGAAGAAGCACCGGCUAACUCCGUGCCAGCAGCCGCGGUAAUAC
rnacentral:rRNA from 1 species